AUUAAUCAUAUGCCAUAAUGCAUGUAAGCCGGAAAUGUGUCACUUCAGUUUUUUGCCAUCUAUCUCAGCAUGCAGAAACUGCAGCGACCUCAAGUAAUGCAAUGCAGCAAAUCCUUGUCCGUCAAUUGAUACCUUGAGUCACAGCAGCACGUAUGCGGGACCCGAUAACACCUUUCGGCUGCACCUCAGCAUCGCGUUCAUUCUCCGCGAUAACAACUUUCUGUCACAGAUAUCCACAUCAAAUCAAAACUCAAAUCACUGUCUGCCGUUCAUUCUCAAAAACACUGAAAACGAAUUGAAUUUUCCCUCUCUUACUUUCUCUCCUCCCAAACACAAAUUAAGUAAAAAAAAUGUCUUCUCCGAUGUACCGCAUAGGCUACGCUCUUUCCCCCAAGGAUGGGCAACGCUUCAUCCAAAACUCUUUAAUCGAUCAAGCCAAACAACGCGGCAUCGAUCUCAUCGAAAUCGACCCCACCAAACCCUUAGCUCAACAGGGACCGUUCGAUUGCAUCAUCCACAAAAUCUACGGCUCCGAUUGGAACAACCAAGUGCAGCAACUCUCUCUCCAUCACCCAAACGUCGUCGUGAUCGACCCGCCGGAAGCAAUCGACCAUCUCCACAGCCGUGCCUCCAUGCUCGAUGUGGUGACCAGUUUGAAAAUCCCUCAAGGGAACCAAACCCUCGGGGUUCCAAAUCAGAGAGUAUUGGAAGAGUCGGAGAAUCUUGUGGAUUCGAUUGACGAAAUAGGGUUCAAGUUUCCGUUCAUAGCGAAACAGGUGUCGGUCGACGGCAGUGCCAAGUCACACGAGAUGUUCUUGGUGUUCAACGAGAACGGGUUGAAGAAACUGAAACUGAAAAAACCAUUUGUGAUGCAAGAAUUUGUGAACCACGGCGGAGUGAUUUUCAAGGUGUAUGCGGUGGGAGAUCACGUGAAAUGCGUGAAGAGAAAAUCGUUGCCGGAUAUAUCUGAAGGGACACUGAAUAAUAUGGCGCCGGAGGAGGGUUUGUUGUUGUUUAAGCAGAUAUCGAAUUUGAUUGCGAAAAGUGAUUCUUCUUCUGAGGUGGAGGGAUAUAUUUCUGGAGUGGAGAAGCUUGUGGAGGAGGCGGAAAUGCCGCCUUCGGAGUUUGUGACGGCGUUAGCCAAUGGGUUGAGGGAGGCAAUGGGGCUUAGGCUUUUUAACUUUGAUUUGAUUAGGGAUAGUAGAGAUGGGAAUAGCUACUUUGUUAUCGAUAUCAAUUACUUUCCUGGGUUCGCUAAGAUGCCCGAGUAUGAGUCUGUUUUUGUGGACUUUUUUUGUGAUGUUGUGGAAGAGAAGAGGAGGAAUGUGGAAUUGGAGGCGAAGGAUAAUUAAGAGGUGAGAGGUGGCGAGAUUGAAGAGAGCAAAGGUGACGCGGUUGGGUUAAUCAUUGAUGGUUUACUGAGCUGGAUGGAUCGAGUUCUUGACUCUCAGAGUACCUUUUUGGCGAAUUCCAUAUAUUGUUUAGGCACCUAUCAGAUAGCCCUAAUUCAAAAGCGCUUAUUCAAGGGAUAAGUUUUUCCAAUAAUGUGGGGCAUGUACCUUCAUGACAAAUUUAUAAGGAUUCUGCUAUUUCAAAGUCAAGAAAUUGUAGAUCUUUGCAACGAUGUGGUGACUCUAGGCAACAAAGCAUUCUUGUAGUUCUACUCUUUGGUGUUUUUGUAGAUUUUGAGUUAUGACAACAAAGUAUUCCUGUAACCUUAUAACUUAUAAGACGUUUGAAUCUUAAGUACUCGAUUAAUUGUAGGAUACUCGAAAAGCAUAUGCAAUGCCACUGAGCAUCAUCUCAGUGGUGUUACCUAUUGAAGUAUCUAGGUUCUAGACGGAGGAGA